CUUCCGGUUAAUUCGACAUUCCUCUUUAGUCUGUUCUAUUCUCAUUCAUUUCAUCUUUGGCUGUCCACGGAGCAACAUUCAUCUGAAGAAUUUUCUACGUAACUACGAAUUCAUAUUCAUUGCAACCGCAUAUAAGCUGAACGUUUCCUUCUUCUUCUUCUUCUUCUUCUUCUUCUUCUCCUUCUUCGCACCUUAUAAUGGCGAUUAAUAAAGCUUCAGCUUCAUGGCUAGCAUCCAUGCUGGAUAAUGUUCACACUGCAAAAAUUUGUUCUUAUCCACGUUAAAAUUGUAGUAAAUAUCCCAGAUAAUAAAUUUCUAUGGGAAUGCAUCUCUUAAAAAUGGCACAUUCAUACAAUUCAAGGAAAUCAUUAGGAAAUAACUUGGAAAAUGGUUGACCAUUUACAUUACAUUGAAUUAUGAUAUUACAAUGUGAAAGAUAAUCCACAUAACAUAUGAAAAUCACAAUGACAUUUGCAUUUAAAGGAAAAACUUCAAGAUAUAAUAAUAAACCAGAAGUAUGUAAUCACGCAAUACGGACAAAUUGAGAUCGAAUCGCUGAUAAACGUUUCUACAAAAUUUUUAAUUCAGUGAAUGAUUCAAAGAAAUCAAGACAGGAGUUUAAGCAUUACAAAAUUUCAUCGUGAAACUAAUGAAACAAAAUAAUAUAUAUAUCAUCUUUAAUCAUCCUUGGCCUUACGAGUAGCCCUAUAAUUUGGAAAAAGCACUUUGUGUGGAUAUAUGGGGGCUGUAUUCACAAAAAGUACGUGAAUACUUGAACUAUCAACCUUGGAUGCAAACUGAACAGUAAUGGAUUAUAUUGAUUCAUUAUGAUUAUUGUAAAAAUAUAUAAUAUAUACUUUAUUGGAUAUGCAGAAAUUCUAAUAAAAAUAAAAUAUACAAUCUAAAAAUUGUUGCAUUAAAUCAAUGAUGGCCAUCAUAUCACCAUUAUGCCUUUUGUAUUCAUGCUAAAUAUAUAUAUAUAUAUAUGACGAUAAAAGCUUAUAGUGUUUAUACGUGUAUAUGUUCUUUUAUGUUCACGUAAGAUUUUGUAAAAUUAAUCAAUGUGAACGUAUAAUUUUAAUGUCAUAUGAUUUAUAUCUUCUAUCGAUUAAAAGUAGAUUGAACUAUUUUAGCAGGAUGUAUGAGAUAUUUUUGCGUGCGAAAUAAUUUUUUGUAGCAAUGUAUUUUUUAUAUAAUACUUGCACAUAUUGUAUACCUUUUUUAAGAAAUUGUUAAGAUAAUAUAUUCAUAUUUCUAUGCAUUGAACACAAAAUCAUCACAUAUUAUGUAUUAUGCAUAGUUUUAGGAUGGUCGUAUUGCGUUAUAUCAAUU